rnacentral:lncRNA from 1 species
CCCAGGUCUCUAGCUGUCUGAAUGGAGGAACAUUGCUAGACUGCUGUGGUUUCGAUGAGGCAGGAGAAGAGUUUUGUGCAGUAGAGAAAUACAGAGAGGCCGAGUGCAGUGGCUCACAUCUGUAAUCCCAGCACUUUGGGAGGCCAGGUAAGAGCAUCGCUUGAUGCUGUUUGCUCGAUUGCUUGAAACCCAGUUCAAGACCAGCCUGGGUAAUAUGGCGAAACCCCAUCUCUACUAAAAAUACAAAAAUUAUCUGGGUGUGGUGGUGUAUGCUGGCAGUCCCAGCUACUCAGGAAGCUGAGGUUGGAGGAUCACUUGAACCCUGGAAGUUGAGGCCUGGACAACAGAGUGAGACCCUGUCUCAAAAUAAAUAAAUAAAUACAGAAAAAUAAAUACAGGUAUAUUUGUAAACAACAAAACCUCCUGAAAGGAAAAGGUGUGGUUAAGGAUGGAGUGUUCCUUUGAAGAAUGGGAUGAAGAUUUGCAUCUUGGCUCUGCUGCUUUAUAUUGCAACCCCUCAGUCAAGUAGGAAUCAUUAGUUUCCUCGUCUGUAAUAUGGGGCAGAUAAUCUUUCCUGGGGCUUUUGUGGGCAUUAAGUGAACUAUCCAAUGCAAUGUGCUAAGCAAGAGCCUGACAUAGCAUGGGUGCUCAGCUGACGCCUCCCUCAUUCUCUAGGCAACCUACACACCAAGCCAGGUGAUGACCACCAUUUCCCUCAAAACCAUACUCCUCAUACUCCUCUUUCUCUGCUGUUGCUGUAAGCUAUUUAUUGACUUGUGAUAUUCUUUAUUUUAUUUUAUUUUUAAUCUUUUUAGGUUCUUUGCUGUUUCCAACUGAAGCUAGACAUUUUCCUACUCCCAUGAGUACAAGUUUCUUUCUCUAAAAUUAAAUUAGUAAAAGGUUUUUUUUAAAAAAGUUACACUUCUUAAGUGUAACACAUUCACAAAGUAUAAAAAAUUAUUAGUGUACUUUUGUAUAUUUUUGACCACACCUGAAACAUUGCCUUAGGGUGGUGUCCAAUGCAGUUUACCCAAUUCCAUUUUUAGUCUAGCCCAUCUGUUCUUCCUCCCGCUGCUUCUCCUGUAGCCUUGCCCACAUAACCUUUAUUCUUGGCCUUCUCUGCAUUCUGUGCCACCCUAGUCCCCUCCAGAAUGAGCCAGUGCCCCUACUGCUUGUGGGGAGCAUUCACAAAGAAUAAGCAGUUGCCAUGAUUCAUUUUUUGUUUCAGAUCUUAGACCUGAAUCGUCUGUUUCAUUCUAUCUUGCUCUCUGCUUCCACUUUUCCUAAUUUCCUGGACUCCUUAACUCCUGCUUUACACCUGAUGUUCUUCUCCUGGCCCCUUGUUUUGGAAAUCCAAAUAUACUGCUCC